rnacentral:rRNA from 1 species
GAUGAACGCUGGCGGCGUGCCUAAUACAUGCAAGUCGAGCGAACGGACGAGAAGCUUGCUUCUCUGAUGUUAGCGGCGGACGGGUGAGUAACACGUGGAUAACCUACCUAUAAGACUGGGCUCACUUCGGGAAACCGGAGCUCCUACCGGAUCAUAUUUUGCACCGCAUGGUUCAAAAGUGAAAGACGGUCUUGCUGUCACUUCUAGAUGGAUCCGCGCUGCAUUAGCUAGUUGGUAAGGUAACGGCUUACCAAGGCAACGAUUCAUAGCCGACCUGAGAGGGUGAUCGGCCACACUGGAACUGAGACACGGUCCAGACUCCUACGGGAGGCAGCAGUAGGGAAUCUUCCGCAAUGGGCGAAAGCCUGACGGAGCAACGCCGCGUGAGUGAUGAAGGUCUUCGGAUCGUAAAACUCUGUUAUUAGGGAAGAACAUAUGUGUAAGUAACUGUGCACAUCUUGACGGUACCUAAUCAGAAAGCCACGGCUAACUACGUG